rnacentral:rRNA from 1 species
CCGGUUUUUUAAACAGGUUAAAUUAGUCCAAAAGACGAAAGCUAAUUGAAGUUUUUAGCGGUUUAUCCGCAUAAAGAUCUGAUAGGACACUGAUAAUGACAAUGUUCUAUAAAAGUCUUGACUAAAUCACGUGCCAGCAGUCGCGGCAAUACGGGAAAGACGAGUGUUAUUCAUCUUUAUUAGGUUUAAAGGGUACCUAGACAGUAUAUUUUUCUUCAUAAGAACAUUUAUGCUAGAGUUUUAUGUGAGAGGGUUUUAGUACUAACGGAGUAGAGAUAAAAUUUUUUAAUACUGUUGGGCACUGAUAACGGCGAAGGCAGACCUUUAUGUAAAAACUGACGUUGAGGGACGAAGGCUUGGGUAGCAAACAGGAUUAGAUACCCUAAUAGUCCAGGCAGAAAAUGAUGAGUGCCAUAGAUUAGAGUAAUUUUGAUCUAUAAAUGAAAGUGUAAGCAUUCCACCUCAAGAGUAAUGUGGCAACGCAGGAACUGAAAUCAUUAGACCGUGUCUGAAACCAGUAGUGAAGUAUGUUAUUUAAUUCGAUGACCCGCGAAGAACCUUACCACGAAUUGUAUAUAGUAGCAAAUUUAAAACAACAUUGUUUUACUAGGAAUCUUUUAAAUAAGAAGGUUAUUUAUACAAGCGCUGCAUGGCUGUCUUAAGUUAAUGUCGUGAGAUGCAGGUUAGCUCCAUUAAAUUAACGUAAACCCUCAUCACACUUUUGGUGUGGUGGUUCUCUGGUAUAUCGGAAAGAUAAGUGGGAACAAGACAAGUACUCAUGGCCU